CCAGCAACUUCAAGACAUCAGAGUCAGAUGUGUACAAGAGACAGAUGUCAUUCCAGGCCCCAGAGUCAGGGAGGCUCCAUCCACAGGGUGAGGGCUUGGAGAGGUGGCCGUGAUGUCUUCAGAGAUGCUGCCCUGCAGCAGCCAAAGAUG